AUUGAACGCUGGCGGCAUGCCUUACACAUGCAAGUCGAACGGCAGCACGGGUGUUUGCACCUGGUGGCGAGUGGCGAACGGGUGAGUAAUACAUCGGAACAUGUCCUGUAGUGGGGGAUAGCCCGGCGAAAGCCGGAUUAAUACCGCAUACGAUCUACGGAUGAAAGCGGGGGACCUUCGGGCCUCGCGCUAUAGGGUUGGCCGAUGGCUGAUUAGCUAGUUGGUGGGGUAAAGGCCUACCAAGGCGACGAUCAGUAGCUGGUCUGAGAGGACGACCAGCCACACUGGGGCUGAGACACGGCCCAGACUCCUACGGGAGGCAGCAGUGGGGAAUUUUGGACAAUGGGCGAAAGCCUGAUCCAGCAAUGCCGCGUGUGUGAAGAAGGCCUUCGGGUUGUAAAGCACUUUUGUCCGGAAAGAAAUCCUUGGCCCUAAUACGGUCGGGGGAUGACGGUACCGGAAGAAUAAGCACCGGCUAACUACGUG
rnacentral:rRNA from 1 species